rnacentral:rRNA from 1 species
AGCAGCCGCGGUAAUUCCAGCUCCAAUAGCGUAUAUUAAAGUUGUUGCAGUUAAAAAGCUCGUAGUUGAAUUUCGGAAUCUGUCCGUUGGUCGGGCUUCAUUGUCCGUACUGGCGUGGUGGGUUCUUACCUUCUGAAUAACCAGCAUGCCAUUUACUUGGUGCGCUGGGGAAGCAGGACUAUUACCUUGAAAAAAUUAGAGUGCUCAAAGCAGGCCAGUGCCUGAAUACAUUAGCAUGGAAUAAUAAAAUAGGACGGCAUGGUUCUAUUUUGUUGGUUUCUAGGAUCACCGUAAUGAUUAAUAGGGAUAGUUGGGGGCAUUAGUAUUCAAUUGUCAGAGGUGAAAUUCUUGGAUUUAUUGAAGACUAACUUCUGCGAAAGCAUUUGCCAAGGAUGUUUUCAUUAAUCAAGAACGAAAGUUAGGGGAUCGAAGACGAUCAGAUACCGUCGUAGUCUUAACCAUAAACUAUGCCGACUAGGGAUCGGACGAUGUUAAUUUUUAAUGACUCGUUCGGCGUCCG